CGGCCGUGUAAUUUACUCUUUUUUAUUUUAUCAUUUUUCUAUGAUUUACUAUGAUUUUUUUAAAUAUUCAGCUAAAAUAAAAAAAAAGACAAAACCAUAGUCACUAUAGCAAAACCAUGUUUACUAGAGCAAAACCAUUAUAAAAAACCGCCUAAAGGGGUUAUUUGAAUAGUUUUGGAAAGUUCAGGGGGUAAAACGUCUGAUUUCAAAGUUUGGGGUUAAGUAGUCUACCACCAUAGUUUGGGGGUGAAGUAGACUUUUUUUCAUGAUGUUCGAAUAAACUUGCAUAGAAGCCCCUAUAGAAAAAAAAACAAAAAGACCCUUUUUUGACAAUAAAAAUAAAAAGACUGUAGCCGUCGUGCACACAAACACUUCCAAGAACUCCACCAUUGGCCAUCGCCGUCAACAAGAGCUCCCAAAGCAGCCCAAAUUGAUCUAGAAGACCCCCAUCACAUAGGAGCUUUGAAAUGAGCCGCAAUAGACACCCUUCACCAUGGAUGGGCUGAUGUCAUCGCUUAAUAGACAUGAGCCAGGGAUGCGCCUGAGCUCCUUAUAUCAUUUAUUCAAGCUUCGCAUCAAAUACCUAAUCUAUGGUCGAUCUUUCUGCAACGCACUGUCGCUGCAUCCUUGAUGUAGUGCACCGUCGACACCGCUACCUCCCCGUCCACUAUACAAAAAAGGAUUUUACGAGGCAGUGCUCAAACAUUAAAUGAGGUGGUCAUACAAUCCAAUCUCCUCAUAAAAUGCCUAGGGAAU
rnacentral:lncRNA from 1 species